ACUAAAUAGCUGGAAGUAAUCACCCUUUUUAUUUUGUUUUCUCCCAGAGACUAAAAACGUCAGCAGCAAGUGGCACCAGACAUGAUUAUGUGGAUCUGAGGAAAAAGAUAAAAAAGAAUAAUUCUCCAGGAUGUUCCGGGAUACCUGGCAAAUGGUCUCUGCAAAUUUGUGUUAAAGAGAGGUGAGUUUUGGCCACAGGUCUUUUAAUUCUGUAUAAAAUGCCUUCUUUAUAUAGACCAGAAUAAAAGUGCUCCAUAAACUGAAUUUUUCUGUAAA
rnacentral:lncRNA from 1 species